rnacentral:rRNA from 1 species
GGGGAAUUUUGGACAAUGGGGGCAACCCUGAUCCAGCAAUGCCGCGUGUGUGAAGAAGGCCUUCGGGUUGUAAAGCACUUUUGUCCGGAAAGAAAACGUUCUGGUUAAUACCUGGGGCGGAUGACGGUACCGGAAGAAUAAGCACCGGCUAACUACGUGCCAGCAGCCGCGGUAAUACGUAGGGUGCGAGCGUUAAUCGGAAUUACUGGGCGUAAAGCGUGCGCAGGCGGUUUUGUAAGACAGGCGUGAAAUCCCCGAGCUCAACUUGGGAAUUGCGCUUGUGACUGCAAGGCUAGAGUAUGUCAGAGGGGGGUAGAAUUCCACGUGUAGCAGUGAAAUGCGUAGAGAUGUGGAGGAAUACCGAUGGCGAAGGCAGCCCCCUGGGACGUCACUGACGCUCAUGCACGAAAGCGUGGGGAGCAAAC